CCCAAUCAGUAACUCUCCUACUUGCAUCUUUUUGUGAAAUAUUCUAUGCAAGUCUCUACAUUCAAGAAGUGAAUGACCAACUGUUCUGUGAUAGUCACAAUAUCUUGGGUUGGACUUCUUUUUUGUUGUUGGUGGUCGUGUAACAAGGGACAAGUUCACCUAUCUAUCCCUAAUCCAUUCAUGAAGAAGUGCUUUCAUUCCAUCUAGUGGAACGAAGAAUGGUGGAAAAGAAUUAUUAUCCUCAUAUUACCUUCUCUUUAUAUCAUCCUUUCUAAGACGUAAAUUUGAUUGUAAUGGGCAUCUUCUUUCUCUAUCUUUUUCUUAAAUGGCAUUCACUAUUGAGGUAUUCUUUCUAUCAAAUCAAGUAGCUCCCUUUUGUCUAAGAACCGUAUUAUUGGUUCUUCAUGUGGCUUCCACCAAGGUAACAAAGGUUAGAAGAGAUAAAUUAUCCAAGUGUAACCUAUUUUUAUCAAACAUUCUUUGAAUGCAAGUCUUCACUAAUUCCUUCUCAUCAUGAGACUCUUAUAUGUCCAACACCCUUUCUUUAAAGCAUUAAAUAUUCUUUAGUGAAAGAUUUAGAGAAUUUCAACUUCAAGUCAUCAUCCAAUCCCACUAUUCUGAGUGUUUCCAUAAACUUCAUAGCAUGCUCUCGUGCAUCACCAAUCUUACCAUUGAAUGCAUGAAUAUAAGACUAAUGUAGUCCUUCAGAUAUGGCUUAACCACGAUACUUGCUGGGUAAGGAAAUUUAAGAUCAAAUUCAAAAAAGUUGAAUCUCUU
rnacentral:lncRNA from 1 species